GUGACCUACGGCGUUAAGAGAAGUUUGCGCUCGUUCUUGGUCGUCAUUCUUGAGUGGUUCUUUCACGCUGUUAUUUUAUUUGCGUGUUUCAGUCGACAUGUAACGUCAGAGCUACCGACCGGUCUCUAAACUGGGCGAUGUCAGUGGAACCAGGGUUGGCCACUUUCGUUUCGUUAAAAUGGAUUAAACGUUCCCGUGUUUUUGAAUCCAUCCAAAAGUUAGGCCAAUCGUCAUAUUCAGCUCCGUUUUUAAUAGACAAUGGAAACGUGUUCUUUGUGUGAACUUUAUCGCCGAUCGUACGUCGCUCCCUGGUCGUUUUAUUCGAUUCCUUCGUUAUAAUUACACAUUUAAAACCCGCACAAACACUAAAUUCUCUAAAAUAAUCGAUCACUUCAGUUGACGACACCUAUAAAAGCACAUUCAUUAGUACACCCCAAAUAUUAUAUUACAUUUUAUUUAUAUUGUAAAUCUCAAAAAAACAAAACAUCUUGAGUCCCUAGGCUAAUUUCCCUUUCCAUUCCUCCUUACACAAUCCCGUGUAAAUAAACAAGCGGGGAUAUGACUCAUAGCCCGGAUCCUCGUCAUCAAGUCCACUGCAUUGAAAACUUUAAUCUAAUAAUAGUCCAUUUCUGCACCAAAUUAUUUUAUAACCUAAACGCCACAAAUCAGACAUUUUCCUUUUUAGAAAUGGACUUGAUAAGUUAUCAACUAAACGAGGCCCUUUUAUAAAUUCUAACCUGGAGCUUUAAAUAUCCCAAUAUAUAUUUAUUAGUGUUACCAAUUAAUAAUAAAUUAGUAAUUUCAGUGGUCAGUGUUUGCCAAGGCAUAUUUGUUUAUGUAUUUAAAAUUUAAAUUUUUGUUGUUGUAUUAAAUCAGAAAUGGAUUGAUCCGGCCGAGUUGUAGCACCACACUUAAAGCACGGAUCGUAGUAAGAACUGGAUGAAGACGUCUAAACUAGAGCAAACGUUAGUUGACUAGAACCCAAAUCCAGUGUGUUAAUAAAGCAGCAUGGGGUUUUUUAUCAUAGGGAAGUGAAACAAAUAACUGUAGACCCAAAUACAGAGACUUUGAGUAAGUUUGCUGCAUUGACGGUUGAGUAAAAGGAAGUAUUGUACAACAGAGCUAUAUUUCUCUAAAGCACCACAAACAGUCAAGCUGAGUCAACUCUGCUCUAAAAUAGCUUUGGCCGAACCCGGUGUAUGUUGUUUUUCAGUGUUCAUUGAAUGUAAGAUUUUGCUGCUACCUCAUUAAUUUAGGAAAAAAAAAAAAAGAUGCAAAUUUGCAUAUUUACUGUAUGUAAAGGUUCGUUAAACUGGUCUUAGAAGACCUUAGACUUUCCAUAUCCACGACUACAUACCCAAAUUACGUGGUAGCAUUAAUUUAUAUCAACGCAAAUGGAGUCGCAUGUUCCUAACAAAAACAAACACAAUUAUGAGACUUCUGAUACGACAUGAACAUGAAUUUAAAGAUGAUUUUGUCGACAACAGUAAAUGAAUAACUUUCAAAGCCAAAAAGUGUCCCAUGAAAAAAAUUACUUUAUAAAAAAAUAAAUUAAUAAAAUUAAACCUUAAGUAAGAUAUAUCACAUCCUGUUAUUGUGCCAAAAGCUACAACAAACAUGUUUUGCAACAUUGCAAUCAACUUUGUGAAUAUUCUACGUCAUUUCUGCCGUGGCUGCGUUGUUGUUCGCUGCUCAGAAGAAACAGGCGGUUUUGUUUUUCUAACUCUG